rnacentral:rRNA from 1 species
AACGAACGCUGGCGGCAUGCCUAACACAUGCAAGUCGAACGAGACCUUCAGGUCUAGUGGCGCACGGGUGCGUAACGCGUGGGAACCUGCCCUUAGGUUCGGAAUAACUCCCCGAAAGGGGUGCUAAUACCGGAUAAUGUCUUCGGACCAAAGAUUUAUCGCCUUUGGAUGGGCCCGCGUUGGAUUAGCUAGUUGGUAGGGUAAAAGCCUACCAAGGCGACGAUCCAUAGCUGGUCUGAGAGGAUGAUCAGCCACACUGGGACUGAGACACGGCCCAGACUCCUACGGGAGGCAGCAGUGGGGAAUAUUGGACAAUGGGCGAAAGCCUGAUCCAGCAAUGCCGCGUGAGUGAUGAAGGCCUUAGGGUUGUAAAGCUCUUUUACCCGGGAUGAUAAUGACAGUACCGGGAGAAUAAGCUCCGGCUAACUCCGUG